CAGAGGUGGCAAGCGUUGUUCGGAAUUACUGGGCGUAAAGGGCGCGUAGGCGGUUCGUUAAGUCCUGUGUGAAAUCCCCCGGCUCAACUGGGGAACUGCACAGGAAACUAGCGGGCUUGAGUUCGGGAGAGGGAAGCGGAAUUCCGGGUGUAGCGGUGAAAUGCGUAGAUAUCCGGAGGAACACCGGUGGCGAAGGCGGCUUCCUGGACCGACACUGACGCUGAGGCGCGAAAGCUAGGGGAGCAAACGGGAUUAGAUACCCCGGUAGUCCUAGCUGUAAACGAUGAGUGCUGGGUGUAGGGGGUAUUAACCCCCCCUGUGCCGAAGCUAACGCAUUAAGCACUCCGCCUGGGGAGUACGGUCGCAAGGCUG
rnacentral:rRNA from 1 species